AUGGUGAGGAGGGGAGGGGGGGAGGUGGAGGCUUGGUCCUCCCAUGAGAAGCCUGCAGAAGCUGUUCAAAACAAUGCUCAUUUGAGAUAGGCAAAGGAAUAAGGAAAGGGCUUAGUAAGAUCCAGGAGAGCAGGAGCACCUUGGCUACCUGAAACCAUCGUAUUGGCACUGCUUUUGGCUUUACUCCUCUCUCCUGGGGAGAGAUUCUUCAGAGGUGGGUGACGGACUGACAGCGAGCCCUGUGCAUGCACAGAUCUGAACUGAGAGGAUGGACGUCUGAUGAUUAAAGACACUUGUUGCCGGGCAAUAGUUUCUGGCGCUGCAGCCCAGAGUCAGUAAUGCAGUGCCCUGCGAUAGAAGCAGAAAUGAAUGCCCAUCAGCAGCCCUAGAUCAUCGAAGCCAUGAUGCUACAGUUCUGUGCUGCCUGUCCCGUGCUAAUCACAGAAAUCGUAGACAAUCAGGUCAAAGGAGACUUGAAGAGGUCAUCUGGUCCAUCCCUCACUCUGAGGUGGGAUGAACUCCCUCCCUGUGCAAGAACCUGACGCGAUGAAAUGGCCAAACUCAAGCAAGGUGCCACAAGGAGGAGGAGGAGCGGCUCCAGGCAUGGGCUGGCCUUGUCCCCUCACAACCAGGGACACUGGCAGACACGACGCCUCACGUCCCUCCCACAGCUGGAGAUUAGGAUUAUUCCGCAAACCCUGGAGCCUGCCCAGCACAGCCCAGUACUGAUUCAUGAACUGGAGCUUCUUGAGAGAUACCAAUGGGCCAGAAGCAGACACACAACUUAGGGAGCUCUCAGGCACCUCCCAUGGGUCACACUCAUAGGGUGAGAUCUAAGAUGAAGGGUUCCCUAUGGAGGAUGUGGUUUCAAUGAGGGGGGUUUAUUUUGGAGUUUAUUGCCUGAAACUGCAGAGCAGCUCAGCCCACCACCCUCCCAUAGAGGAGAGAUGCUCCAGAGAUUGCAUUGGCUCAUCAACUUUGACUAUCAUAGGAGCCCACACGUAGUCCCAAAUUUGGGUCACCAAAUGUAGAAGAAACUCAGACUUCAUUAAGAGAAGGUGGAUUUCUAGCAUUUUUCUGAAAAGCUGUAUCCUCUUCUAGGUGUCCCCACGUUGCAUACUUAAAAUGUCCAACUCAUUUUGGCCUCAGCCGUGACCUGCUUCAUGCUCAAGGCUGAGACUGAUGUGUGAAAUCUGUAUGCAUGGAGCUAAAAGCUGCUCUGCAUGGUGACUUGCAAAUACGUGGAUAUGGAGGCGUAAACAGAGGAUUUUGUGGUUUAAAACCAGGUCAGAAGGGGAGCUCACGUCCAGUUCCAAAGAAAAUACAAACUGCUUCCCAGUGAGCAUGUCACCCUUCUUAGCAUCACUCCAUCUGUGUUGAUUUACUACAAAAUCCCCAGCACUAAACAGAGACUCAUGACUGUGAAACCCCAUGAUACAUAAAUAGAAGAGCUGAAUGGUUGCUAUAAAAGUAAAAACAAUCUCCCAAACA